rnacentral:rRNA from 1 species
CACGGGGGGAGCAAGCGUUGUUCGGAAUCACUGGGCGUAAAGGGCGUGUAGGCGGUCAAGUAAGUGGGAUGUGAAAUCCCUCGGCUCACCCGAGGACCUGCAUCCCAAACUGCUUGGCUUGAGUAUGGGAGAGGAUGAGGGAAUUCCUGGUGUAGCGGUGAAAUGCGUAGAUAUCAGGAGGAACACCGGUGGCGAAGGCGCUCAUCUGGCCCAAUACUGACGCUGAGGCGCGAAAAGCUAGGGGAGCAAACGGG